rnacentral:rRNA from 1 species
GAUGAACGCUGGCGGCGUGCCUAAUACAUGCAAGUCGAGCGAACAGAUGAGGAGCUUGCUCCUCUGACGUUAGCGGCGGACGGGUGAGUAACACGUGGAUAACCUACCUAUAAGACUGGGAUAACUUCGGGAAACCGGAGCUAAUACCGGAUAAUAUAUUGAACCGCAUGGUUCAAUAGUGAAAGACGGUUUUGCUGUCACUUAUAGAUGGAUCCGCGCCGCAUUAGCUAGUUGGUAAGGUAACGGCUUACCAAGGCAACGAUGCGUAGCCGACCUGAGAGGGUGGUCGGCCAGCAGGGAGCUUAGAAGCGGACAAGAGGCAUGCGGGAGGCAGCAGUAGGGAAUGGUACGGAAUGGGCGAAGGACUGAAAAAGCAACGCAGAGGGAGAGAUGAAAAGUUUCGGAUCGUAAAGAUGUGUUAUUAGGGAAAAACAAAUGGGGAAGUAAAUACGCAGGGCGUGACGGUACCGGAUAAGAAAGCAACGGCUAACUACGUG